AUCAACCGAGAUUCCCCCAGUAGCGGCGAGCGAACGGGGAGCAGCCCAGAGCCUGAAUCAGUGUGUGUGUUAGUGGAAGCGUCUGGAAAGGCGCGCGAUACAGGGUGACAGCCCCGUACACAAAAAUGCACAUACUGUGAGCUCGAUGAGUAGGGCGGGACACGUGGUAUCCUGUCUGAAUAUGGGGGGACCAUCCUCCAAGGCUAAAUACUCCUGACUGACCGAUAGUGAACCAGUACCGUGAGGGAAAGGCGAAAAGAAC
rnacentral:rRNA from 1 species